GACGAACGCUGGCGGCGUGCUUAACACAUGCAAGUCGAACGGAAAGGCCCUGCUUUUGUGGGGUGCUCGAGUGGCGAACGGGUGAGUAACACGUGAGUAACCUGCCCUUGACUUUGGGAUAACUUCAGGAAACUGGGGCUAAUACCGGAUAGGAGCUCCUGCUGCAUGGUGGGGGUUGGAAAGUUUCGGCGGUUGGGGAUGGACUCGCGGCUUAUCAGCUUGUUGGUGGGGUAGUGGCUUACCAAGGCUUUGACGGGUAGCCGGCCUGAGAGGGUGACCGGCGACAUGGGGACUGAGAUACGGACCAGACUCCUACGGGAGGCAGCAGUGGGGAAUAUUGCACAAUGGGCGGAAGCCUGAUGCAGCAACGCCGCGUGCGGGAUGACGGCCUUCGGGUUGUAAACCGCUUUCGCCUGUGACGAAGCGUGAGUGACGGUAAUGGGUAAAGAAGUACCGGCUAACUACGUG
rnacentral:rRNA from 1 species